rnacentral:rRNA from 1 species
GGUAACCUACGGGGCGCAGCAGUAGGGAAUCUUCGGCAAUGGACGAAAGUCUGACCGAGCAACGCCGCGUGAGUGAAGAAGGUUUUUGGAUCGUAAAACUCUGUUGUUAGAGAAGAACGUUAAGUAGAGUGGAAAGUUACUUAAGUGACGGUAUCUAACCAGAAAGGGACGGCUAACUACGUGCCAGCAGCCGCGGUAAUACGUAGGUCCCGAGCGUUGUCCGGCUUUAUUGGGCGUAAAGCGAGCGCAGGUGGUUUCUUAAGUCUGAUGUAAAAGGCAGUGGCUCAACCAUU